rnacentral:rRNA from 1 species
AUUGAACGCUGGCGGCAGGCCUAACACAUGCAAGUCGAGCGAGAGGCGGACGGGUGAGUAAUGUCUGGGAAACUGCCUGAUGGAGGGGGAUAAAUACUGGAAACGGUAGCUAAUACCGCAUCCCAUCAGAUGUGCCAAGAUGGGACUAGCUAGUAGGUGGGGUAACGGCUCACCUAGGCGAAGAUACCUAGCUGGUCAGAAAGGAUGACCAUCUACACGGGAACUGGAACACGGUCCAGACUCCCACGGGAGUCAGCAGUGGGGAAGAUUGAACAAUUGGCUAAAGCCUGAUGCAGCCAUGCCGGGUGUGUGAAGAAGGCUUUCGGGUUGUAAAGCACUUUCAGCGGGGAGGCGUUACCCGCAGAAGAAGCACCGGCUAACUCCGUGCCAGCAGCCGCGGUAAUUC